UAAAAGUUUAAUUUUAGCUUAAAAUUUAGCUUAUUGAUUUAUGUAUAUAUAAAUAUAUGCUUAUAUUAUAUUUAAUUUAAAAAAUUAAAUAUUAAUUUUAGUAAUAUAAAAUUUUAAUUAUUAGAAAAAUCUAGAAUUAGAAAUUUAAUUUAAUUUAAACAAAAUUUGUGCCAGCAGUUGCGGUUAUACAAAUUAUAUAAGUUAAAUUUAUUUAAUUUAAUAAAUAUAGAAAGUAAGUUUAAUAAAAGAUUUAAUUUUUUAGGUGAAAUUUAAAAAAUAAAUUUAAUUUAAUAAUUUAUUUAUGAAGUUAAGAAAAUUUGUAAUUAAACUAGGAUUAGAUACCCUAUUAUUAUAAAUGUAAAUUUUUAAUUUAAAUUAUUAAAAGUUAUGUUCUUUAAAAUUAAAAAUUUUGGCGGUAUUUUAAUCUAUUCAGAGGAACCUGUUUUUUAAUCGAUAAUCCACGAUAAAAGGGACUUUAAUUUUAAAUUUAUAUAUCAUCGUAAUUUGAAUAUUUUAUAAGAAUAUAAAUAUUCUAAAAUUUAAAUUAGAAAAUAAUUCAGAUCAAGAUGUAGUUUAUAUUAAAGAUAAAAUGGGUUACAAUAAAUUUAUUUAUAGAUUUUAAAUUUAUAAUUUAAUUGAAAAUGGAUUUGAAAGUAAUUUUUUUUAUUUAAAAAAAAUGAUUAUGCUCUAAAAUAUGCACAUAUCGCCCGUCGCUUUCAUUAUAAAAUGAAAUAAGUCGUAACAAAGUAGGCUUAUUGGAAAAUGAGCCUAGAAUGAU
rnacentral:ncRNA from 1 species